rnacentral:ncRNA from 1 species
AUAAAGUUUUAUUUUAGCUUAAAGGUUAAGUUUUAAUUUUUAUUAUAUGUAAAAUUUUAUUAAAAAAUUAUUUGCAGUAUUUAAAUUUAAUUAUUUAAGAAAUUAAGAAUUAGAAAUAUUAUUAAAUAUAAACAAAAUUUGUGCCAGCAGUUGCGGUUAUACAAAUUAUAUAAUUUAAUUUUAUUAAUUUUAAUUAAUUAAUAAUAUAAAUUUUAAUAUAAAAUUUAUUAGGUGAAAUUUUAAAUUUUAAUAAAAUUUUUUAUAGAUAAUGAUUUAAUAAGUUUAAUUUGUAAACUAGGAUUAGAUACCCUAUUAUUUUAAAUGUAAUUUAUAAAAUUUAAUUAGUAUUAGUUAUGGUCUUGAAAAUUAAAAAUUUUGGCGGUAUUUUAGUCUUUUCAGAGGAACCUGUUCUAUAAAUGAUAGUCCACGAUUCAAUUAACUUUUUCUUUAAAUUUAUAUAUCGUCGUAAUUUAAAUAUUUUUUUAGAAUUUUAAUAUUUAAAAUUUUUAAUAAAAAAUUAAAUCAGAUCAAGGUGUAGUUUAUGAAAAAGUAGAAAUGGGUUACAAUAAAUUUAUUUUAGGAUUAAUAUUUUUAUAUUAUUAUGAAUUUGGAUUUGAAAGUAAUUUUAAUUAGUUUAUUAGAAUGAUUUUAGCUCUAAAAUAUGUACAUAUUGCCCGUCACUUUCAUUUAAUAUGAAAUAAGUCGUAACAAAGUAGAUUUACUGGAAAGUAAAUCUAGAGUCAA